rnacentral:rRNA from 1 species
GAUGAACGCUAGCGGCAGGCCUAACACAUGCAAGUCGAGGGGUAGCAGGAUUAAGCUUGCUUAAUUGCUGACGACCGGCGCACGGGUGCGUAACGCGUAUGCAACCUACCUUAUACUGGGGUAUAGCCCGGAGAAAUUCGGAUUAAUCCCCCAUAGUACUAAUGAAUCGCAUGGUUUAUUAGUUAAAGCAUUGCGGUAUAAGAUGGGCAUGCGUCCUAUUAGCUAGAUGGUGAGGUAACGGCUCACCAUGGCUACGAUAGGUAGGGGGCCUGAGAGGGUGGUCCCCCACACUGGUACUGAGAAACGGACCAGACUCCUACGGGAGGCAGCAAUGAGGAAUAUUGGUCAAUGGGCGCAAGCCUGAACCAGCCAUGCCGCGUGCAGGAAGAAUGCCUAUGGGUUGUAAACUGCUUUUAUUUGGGAAUAAACCUCUUUACGUGUAGAGAGCUGAAGGUACCAAAUGAAUAAGCACCGGCUAACUCCGCGCCAGCAGCCGCAGUAA